rnacentral:rRNA from 1 species
ACUCAAAGGAAUUGACGGGGGCCUGCACAAGCGGUGGAGUAUGUGGCUUAAUUCGAUGCAACGCGAAGAACCUUACCUGGCCUUGACAUGCACGUGGUAGAAGCCUGAAAGGGUGACGACCUCGCAAGAGGAGCGUGCACAGGUGCUGCAUGGCUGUCGUCAGCUCGUGUCGUGAGAUGUUGGGUUAAGUCCCGCAACGAGCGCAACCCUUGUGUCCUGUUGCCACCCGGUCGAGAGACUGGAGCACUCUGGACAGACUGCCUCGCUUAAACGAGGAGGAAGGUGGGGAUGACGUCAAGUCAGGAUGGCCCUUACGGCCAGGGCUGCAAACGUACUACAAUGCCCGGCACAAAGGGAAGCAAGACCGAUAGGUGGAGCAAAUCCCAAAAAACCGGGCUCAGUUCAGAUUGUCGGCUGCAACUCGCCGACAUGAAGCUGGAAUCGCUAGUAAUGGCGCAUCAGCUACGGCGCCGUGAAUACGUUCCCAGGCCUUGUACACACCGCCCGU